GCCAUUGAGGUGUAGUGGUUUGAGUGUUGGACUGUGAAUCUGGUGAUCAGAGUUCAAAUCCCUGCUCAGGCA